AGGACGAACGCUGGCGGCGUGCCUAAUACAUAGCAAGUCGAACGGUCUUUCUAUGGAAGCUUGCUUCCACUGAGAAGAUAGUGGCGAACGGGUGAGUAACACGUGGGUAACCUGCCCAUAAGAGGGGGGAUAACAUCCGGAAACGGGUGCUAAUACCGCAUAGUUUUCUUGAUUGCAUGAUUGAGAAAGGAAAGACGGCCUUUGUGCUGUCGCUUAUGGAUGGACCCGCGGCGUAUUAGUUAGUUGGUGAGGUAACGGCUCACCAAGACGAUGAUACGUAGCCGACCUGAGAGGGUGAUCGGCCACAUUGGGACUGAGACACGGCCCAAACUCCUACGGGAGGCAGCAGUAGGGAAUCUUCCGCAAUGGACGAAAGUCUGACGGAGCAACGCCGCGUGAGUGAAGAAAAGGGUUUUCGGAUCGUAAAACUCUGUUGUCAGAGAAGAACAAGUUGGAGAGUAACUGCUCCAGCCUUGACGGUAUCUGACCAGAAAGCCACGGCUAACUACGUGCCAGCCGCAGC
rnacentral:rRNA from 1 species